rnacentral:rRNA from 1 species
AUUGAACGCUGGCGGCAGGCCUAACACAUGCAAGUCGAGCGGAGCGGCGGACGGGUGAGUAAUGACUAGGAAUCUGCCUGGUAGCGGGGGAUAACGUCCGGAAACGGGCGCUAAUACCGCAUACUAUUAGAUGAGCCUAGGUCGGAUUAGCUAGUUGGUGGGGUAAAGGCCUACAAAGGCGACGAUCCGUAACUGGUCUGAGAGGAUGAUCAGUCACACUGGAACUGAGACACGGUCCAGACUCCUACGGGAGGCAGCAGUGGGGAAUAUUGGACAAUGGGCGAAAGCCUGAUCCAGCCAUGCCGCGUGUGUGAAGAAGGUCUUCGGGUUGUAAAGUACUUUUGGCAGAGAAGCGGUAUCUGCAGAAUAAGCACCGGCUAACUACGUGCCAGCAGCCGCGGUAAUUC